rnacentral:rRNA from 1 species
UACGGCUCAGUAACACGUCGGUAACCUGCCCUAAGGUCGGGGAUAACCUCGCGAAAGUGAGGGUAAUACUCGAUAGGGAAAUUCUUCUGGAAUGAUUUUUUCCCAGAAAUUCGUGCCUUAGGAUGGGCCGGCGGCGGAUUAGGCUGUUGGCGGUGUAAUGGACCACCAAACCGAAGAUCCGUACGGGCCAUGAGAGUGGGAGCCCGGAGAGGGACACUGAGAUACUGGUCCCAGCCCUACGGGGUGCAGCAGGCGCGAAACCUUUUCAAUGCGCGCAAGCGUGAGAAGGGAAUUCCAAGUGCUUAAGUUUUGCUUAGGCUUUUGCCAAGGGGGAAAAGCUUGGCGAAUAAGGGGUGGGUAAGACUGGUGCCAGCCGCCGCGGUAACACCAGCGCCUCGAGUGGGGGAGCGGGGGUGAUUGGGUCUAAAGCGUCCGUAGCAGGCUCCGUAAAUGCUUUGUGAAAUCGGCAGGCAUAACCUGUCAACAAAAAAAAUAACUGCGGGGCUCGAGACCGGGGAGAUGUCAGAAGUAUUCCUAGGGUACCGGUAAAAUGGGUUAAUCCUGGGAGGACUACCGAUGGCGAAGGCAUCUGACAAGAACGGUUCUGACUGUGAGGGACGAAAGCUAGGGGAGCAAAACGGAUUAGAUACCCGAGUAGUCCUAGCUGUAAACGAUGCGCGUUAGGUGUAUCGGUGACCACGAGUCACCGAGUUGCCGAAGAGAAAUCGUGAAACGUGCCGCCUGGGAAGUACGGUCGCAAGGCUGAAACUUAAAGGAUUGGCGGGGGAGCACA